rnacentral:rRNA from 1 species
AUGAACGCUGGCGGCGUGCCUAAUACAUGCCAGUCGAGCGAACAGACGAGGAGCUUGCUCCUCUGACGUUAGCGGCGGACGGGUGAGUAACACGUGGAUAACCUACCUAUAAGACUGGGAUAACUUCGGGAAACCGGAGCUAAUACCGGAUAAUAUAUUGAACCGCAUGGUUCAAUAGUGAAAGACGGUUUUGCUGUCACUUAUAGAUGGAUCCGCGCCGCAUUAGCUAGUUGGUAAGGUAACGGCUUACCAAGGCAACGAUGCGUAGCCGACCUGAGAGGGUGAUCGGCCACACUGGAACUGAGACACGGUCCAGACUCCUACGGGAGGCAGCAGUAGGGAAUCUUCCGCAAUGGGCGAAAGCCUGACGGAGCAACGCCGCGUGAGUGAUGAAGGUCUUCGGAUCGUAAAACUCUGUUAUUAGGGAAGAACAAAUGUGUAAGUAACUAUGCACGUCUUGACGGUACCUAAGCAGAAAGCCACGGCUAACUACGU